rnacentral:misc_RNA from 1 species
AAAGUUUUCAAAUAUUUAUGGACAAGUUGGUUGUUUUUUCUGGUUUUCUUUCAUAUUUGGAUUUAUUUAUUUUACUUAGAGCAGCUUAUCGAUCUUAAUAUUUACAAGCUUGGGUAUGAUCGUAACUUCUCCUUUCAUGUAAGCUUUGUAAUGUACAUCUACAUUGGAGGCCCCUUCAUUUCCUUGCAUAUUGUCCACCAAAUGCAUGUUGGAGUUGGAGUUUGUGCCCCUUUCUGUUUCUUACUGAUGCCUCAUCCAUUCCAACUGAGUGGAAACUCUUGGAAGUCCUUUCUUUUAUGAGAUUAUUGAAUGAUUGGGAG